UGGGGAAUUUUGGACAAUGGGCGAAAGCCUGAUCCAGCAAUGCCGCGUGUGUGAAGAAGGCCUUCGGGCUGUAAAGCACUUUUGUCCGGAAAGAAAUCCUUGGCUCUAAUACAGUCGGGGGAUGACGGUACCGGAAGAAUAAGCACCGGCUAACUACGUGCCAGCAGCCGCGGUAAUACGUAGGGUGCAAGCGUUAAUCGGAAUUACUGGGCGUAAAGCGUGCGCAGGCGGUUUGCUAAGACCGAUGUGAAAUCCCCGGGCUCAACCUGGGAACUGCAUUGGUGACUGGCAGGCUAGAGUAUGGCAGAGGGGGGUAGAAUUCCACGUGUAGCAGUGAAAUGCGUAGAGAUGUGGAGGAAUACCGAUGGCGAAGGCAGCCCCCUGGCAAGUACUGACGCUCAUGCACGAAAAGGCGUGGGGGAGCAAAACNGGAUUAAUACCCCUGGUAGUCCACGCCCCUAAAANGAUGUCAACUAGUUGUUGGGGAUUCAUUUUCCUUAGUAACGUAGCUAACGCGUGAAG
rnacentral:rRNA from 1 species